AGGAUAAACGCUGGCGGCGUGCCUAACACAUGCAAGUCGAACGCGCUUGCUAUCCGCGAGGAGGGUGAGCGAGUGGCGGACGGGUGAGGAACACGUGGGUGACCUACCUUUCAGUGAGGGAUACCGGCGAGAAAUUGCCGACAAGACCGCAUACGCUUCUCUUUUCAAGGGGAGAAGGAAAGCUUUUCGCAAGAGAGGCGCUGGGAGAUGGGCCUGCGGCCGAUUAGCUAGCUGGUGGGGUAAUGGCCUACCAGGGCGACGAUCGGUAGCUGGUCUGAGAGGACGAUCAGCCACACUGGGAUUGAGAACGGCCCAGACUCCUACGGGGGGCAGCAGUGAGGAAUUUUCGGCAAUGGGGGCAACCCUGACCGAGCAACGCCGCGUGCAGGACGACGGCCUUCGGGUUGUAAACUGCUUUUCUCUGGGACGAGCAAGGACGGUACCAGAGGAAGAAGCCCGGCUAACUACGUGCCAGCAGCCGC
rnacentral:rRNA from 1 species